rnacentral:rRNA from 1 species
GACGCACGCUGGCGGCGUGCUUAACACAUGCACGUCGAGCGGAGCGGCGAACGGGUGAGUCACGCGUGAGUAACUGCCCCCCUCUCUUGGAUAACAGUUGGAAACGGCUGCUCAUACCGGAUAGUGGGGGGUGACUCGCGUACUAUCAGCUUGUUGGUGGGGUAGUGGCCUCCCAAGGCGACGACUGGUAGCCGGCCUGAGAGGGAGACCGGCCACAUUGGGCUGAGAGACGGCCCAAACGCCUACGGGAGGCAGCAGUGGGGAAUAUUGCACAAGUGGGGAAACCCUGAUGCAGCAACGCCGCGUGCGGGAUGACGGCCAUCGGGUUGUAAACCGCUUUCAGCCAUGACGCGGUAGUGGCAGAAGAAGCACCGGCUAACUACGUGCCAGCAGCCGCGGUAAUUC